GUGAAUCAACGAAUUUUUGAACGCAAAUUGCACUCUCUGCGUAGAAUAUGCCUGUUUUAGUUUCAGGCUAAGAAAAAUCGAAAUAGGUGGUGGUUCGCGCUUUUAGUGGUCGGGAAUUGGGUCAUCGUAGACUUUUCUGUGUUUAGGUGAUUUAAAUUUUCUUUUGGAUUUCACGAACGUUUCUAAGUGUUUAUUUCUUACACUGUUAAUGGAUCUAUCUUUAUUAGAC
rnacentral:misc_RNA from 1 species